AUAUUUACUUGGCAGGGGAGAUAUAAGAUCACAAAGGUGGUUUUCCCAGGGCAAGGCUUAUCUAUUGCAUUCCAGAUGUGCUGACCACUACAAAUUCCCCAAUGUGGGAAACUCGACUACAUAAUUUGUGGUAGUAGGGGACUGCGUUCAUACUUUCUCCUG